AAUGCUUUUGUGUUGGUUCAAGAACUUAUGUCCAUGAGCGUGUGUAUGACAAGUUUGUUGAAAAAUCAAAGGCAUGUGCAAUGAAACGUGUUGUUGGCGAUCCAUUCAAGGCAGGCAUUGAACAAGGCCCACAGAUUGACCCAGAACAAUUUAACAAGGUCCUGAGUUACAUAAGAUCUGGAAAAGAAAGUGGAGCUAAGCUGGAAACUGGAGGAGACAAAAUUGGCUCAAGGGGUUACUAUAUUCCACAGUUUUAUUUUUUGUUAGGAUCCAGUUGCUUUAAAUUUAUAUUUUGUUUAAGGAA